GACGAACGCUGGCGGCGUGCUUAACACAUGCAAGUCGAACGGAAAGGCCCUGCUCUUGCGGGGUGCUCGAGUGGCGAACGGGUGAGAAACACGUGAGUAACCUGCCCUUGACUUUGGGAUAACUUCAGGAAACUGGGGCGAAUACCGGGUAGGAUCUCCUGCUGCAUGGGGGGGGUUGGAAAGUUUCGGCGGUUGGGGAUGGACUCGCUGCUUAUGAGCUUGUUGGUGGGGUAGUGGCUUACCACGGCUUUGACGGAUAGCCGGCCUGAGAGGGUGGCCGGCGACAUGGGGACUGCGGUACGGCCCAGUCUGCUACGGGAGGCAGCGGUCGAGAGUCUUGCGCAGCGGGCGGAAGUCUGAUGCAGCGACGCCGCGUGCGGAAUGACGGCUUUCGGGGUGUAAACCGAUGUCGCCUGUGACGAAGCGUGAGUGACGGUAAUGGGUCAAGAAGCACCGGCUAACUACGUG
rnacentral:rRNA from 1 species